AAACUCGAAUAAUGUAUGGUGAUACAUGAAACCUCUCGAAUUCUCAAGUUUCUGUACCCAGGAGCUUUUAAAUAAUAAUAUCAUAAGACAUAACAAAUUAUAUUCGACUGGAUGAAUGCAAGCAAAUUUCAAAAUGGCUUUGUGACAAAAAGGUGCAUCAUGAAUGGUGCUAUUUGUUCGCGUGGCAGUUUAUCACGCGCAACAUUAAUAUACGGACAUUAGGCAGACAUAAUGCAAAAAUUAUAGGAUCCACCACCGCCUGAAUACUGUAUAACUGAUCCAAAUACAGCCAAGACGGGCGUUCCAAAUGGUGGAAAAAAUUAAUGGUCCAAUACAACUGAUUUGGACCCCAUGAAACAAGAAGGCUUGUGGUCAUAACCGUUAAGGAUCCUUCCGUAGUAGGAUAGUUUUGUACAAAAUAAACGGACACACUCCCACCACCGCAAUCACCGGAAUAUCGAAGACCAGGAAGAAAUCAACAAAAAUCCAGAUGGCUUGCGCCGGGUGGGUGUCGUCCAGUCCACAAGGAUUCGAUCCCGGGAGACCGGUGACACUAUGGCCCACACACGGUUGACAGCGAUUAAGAGAUGC